GCCCAAUCGUGGGGGAGUAACGCAGCGAAAGCUGUGCUAAUACCGCAUACGAUCUACGGAUGAAAGCAGGGGAUCGCAAGACCUUGCGCGAAUGGAGCGGCCGAUGGCAGAUUAGGUAGUUGGUGAGGUAAAGGCUCACCAAGCCUUCGAUCUGUAGCUGGUCUGAGAGGACGACCAGCCACACUGGGACUGAGACACGGCCCAAACUCCUACGGGAGGCAGCAGUA
rnacentral:rRNA from 1 species